CCAAUGGAGGGGCGAUGGGGUGAGCCUAUGGAUCCCAGUGGUGAUGAGGUAACCCCAAAGAUGCCAAUGGAGGGGCGAUGGGGUAACCCCAUAAAUCCUAAUGGAGGAGCGAUGGGGUAACCCCAUGGAUCCCAAAGGAUCCUAAUGGAGGUUUGAUGGAUCCCAAUGGGUGAUGGUUUAACCCCAUGGAUCCCAAUGGAGGGGUGAUGGGGUAACCCCAUGGAUCCCAAUGGAGGGUGGUGGAGUAACCCCCUGGAUCCCAAUGGAUCCCAAUGGAGGGGCGAUGGGGUAACCCCAUGGAUCCCAAAGGAUCCUAAUGGAAGUGUGAUGGAUCCC
rnacentral:lncRNA from 1 species